AUGGAACGCUGGCGGCAGGCUUAACACAUGCAAGUCGAGCGGAGAUGAGGUGCUUGCACCUUAUCUUAGCGGCGGACGGGUGAGUAAUGCUUAGGAAUCUGCCAUUUAGUGGGGGACAACAUGCCGAAAGGAACGCUAAUACCGCAUACGUCCUACGGGAGAAAGCAGGGGAUCUUCGGACCGUGCGCUAAAUGAUGAGCCUAAGUCGGAUUAGCUAGUUGGUGGGGUAAAGGCCUACCAAGGCGACGAUCUGUAGUGUGUCUGAGAGGAUGAUCCGUCCCACUGGGACUUGAACACGGCCGGGACGCCUACGGGAGGCAGCAGUGGGGAAUAUUGGACAAUGGGCGGAAGCCUGCUCCAGCCAUGCCGCUUGUUUGAAGAAGUACUUUUGGUUGUAAAGCACUUUAAGCUAGGAGGAGGCUACUUAGACUAAUACUCUUGGAUAGUGGACGUUACUCGCAGAAUAAGCACCGGCUAACUCUGUGCCAGCCGCCGCGGUAAUAC
rnacentral:rRNA from 1 species